rnacentral:rRNA from 1 species
AUUGAACGCUGGCGGCAUGCCUUACACAUGCAAGUCGAACGGUAACAGGUCUUCGGAUGCUGACGAGUGGCGAACGGGUGAGUAAUGCAUCGGAACGUGCCCAGUUGUGGGGGAUAACUGCUCGAAAGAGCAGCUAAUACCGCAUACGACCUGAGGGUGAAAGCGGGGGAUCGCAAGACCUCGCGCAAUUGGAGCGGCCGAUGUCAGAUUAGGUAGUUGGUGGGGUAAAGGCCUACCAAGCCGACGAUCUGUAGUUGGUCUGAGGGGACGACCAGCCACACUGGGACUGGGACACGGCCCAGACUCCUACGGGAGGCAGCAGUGGGGAAUUUUGGACAAUGGGCGCAAGCCUGAUCCAGCAAUGCCGCGUGCAGGAAGAAGGCCUUCGGGUUGUAAACUGCUUUUGUCAGGGAAGAAAUCCUCUGGGUUAAUACCCCGGGGGGAUGACGGUACCUGAAGAAUAAGCACCGGCUAACUACGUGCCAGCCGCCGCAGUAAGAC